rnacentral:rRNA from 1 species
AGACGAAGGUGGCGAGCGUUACUCGGAAUUACUAGGCGUAAAGCGUGGGCAGGCGGUUUGGUAAGUCUGCUGUGAAAGCCCCGGGCUCAACCCGGGGAGGUCAGUGGAUACUGCCGGACUUGGAUGUGGGAGAGGUGACUGGAAUUCCUGGUGUAGCGGUGAAAUGCGUAGAUAUCAGGAGGAACACCGAUGGCGAAAGCAGGUCACUGGACCACUAUCGACGCUCAUCCACGAAAGCUGGGGGAUCAAACAGGAUUAGAUACCCUGGUAGUCCCAGCCGUAAACGAUGCACAUUAGAUAUGGGGGGUAUCGACCCCUCCCGUGUCGACGCUAACGCAUUAAAUGUGCCGCCUGGGGAGUACGGCCGCAAGGUUGAA